rnacentral:rRNA from 1 species
AUUAUUUUAAGCUAUAUAUUAGGAGUAAAUAAAAUUUAUGAAAUUAAAAAAUUUUGGCGGUAUUUUAAGCUUAUUAGAGGAAUUUGCUCUGUGAUGGACACAACGCCUUAAUCUUACUUAAUUUAGUAAUUUAAAUCAGUUUGUAUACCACUAUAUUAAUUAUAUUGAAUAGUUAUAUUUAAUAUUUUUUUUUAAAAAAAUAUAUUAAGUCAAGGUGCAUCUAAUAAUUAUGAAUGAAGUGAAUUACAUUAAUUUUAAUGUAAUUUUUUACAUGAAAAAAUUAAUUAGGAUUUAAUAGUAAAAUACUAAUAUUAUGAGUAUUUGAAUCAAGCUCUAAAAUAUGCAC